CAAAAAUAAUAAGUCCUGUUUCUGGUCCUGAACAUCCAGAAUUAUGGAGGCUUACUGUGGCCUCACACCACAUUAGAAUUUGGUCUGGAAAUCAAACUUUAGAAACAAGAGAUCGUAAGCCAUUUUAUACUGUCGACCUAAAUUCCAGUCUAACAGUUCCUUUACAAAGUUGCAUAAAGCCCCCUUAUAUGCUAGUUGUAGGAAAUAUAGUUAUUAAACCAGACUCCCAGACUAUAACCUGUGAAAAUUGUAGAUUGCUUACUUGCAUUGAUUCAACUUUUAAUUGGCAACACCGUAUUCUGCUGGUGAGAGCAAGAGAGGGCGUGUGGAUCCCUGUGUCCAUGGACCGACCGUGGGAGGCCUCAC
rnacentral:lncRNA from 1 species